AUUUGAACAUUCAAAACUUUAAAGCAUAAUAUUCUUUUAUAUCAAGAUUUCAGGUACAUAGCAUCCUUGUGUGUGUGUGUGUGUGUGUAUGUGUGUAUGUCUGUAUGUGUUAGUUGCUCAGUUGUGUCCAGCUGUUUGUGACCCCAUGGACUGUGCCACCAGGUUCCUGUGUCUGUGGAAUUCUCCAGGCAAGAAUACUGGAGUGGGUUGCCAUUCCCUUCUCCCAGGGAUUAUCCUGACCUGGGAGUUGAAUCCAGGUCUCCUGCAUUGCAGGCAGAUUCUUUAUUAUCUGAGCCAUCAGGGAAGCCCAUAUAGUAUCCUUAGAAAUUCUGCAUAUAUCCUCAUAUUACAUUAGCUUUGGGGCUGAUGUAACAUAUUUUCUAAAGCUGUUUUGGAUCAAUAUCUGGGCAUACUGGCACAUAAUGUAGGAGUUGGAUGCCACCUGUUUGGGAUAUCUUAAUGCAUUUCACUCACAUUUUAAAUGUAAAGCCAAUGUAACAUCUGUUUUGAAAAGGGUGGUUCUGCUGUUUGGUGUGCAGUGGCCUCUGAGCACUCACUGGCAGUUUCAUAGCUGUUAUAAAAAAAACUGAUUACCUACCUUAAGUGGUCAUCUUUAACCUAGUUCUGAGAAUGGGCCACUAUAACUUCUUGAAGAUUGUAGGUAAACAUUCUGUGAACAUAUACUUGUUUCCACAGAUAGAAAAAAAAGGGGGUCCAUUUUGGAAGGGUGGGUGAUGAAAAUGGUUAAGAAGUGUAGGUUACAGGUUAAAUUAAAUAAUGUUAGUUAUUUGAUUUAACUCCUGCAGUGCCUACAGCAUUUGGGCAUAUGAUUAUUCAAGUUUUUAUUCAUUACCAGAAAGCAAUGUGAAUGUAUUUGGUGUUUGCAAUGAAAAUUCAGUAUUUUUAUAAUUCUAAUAAAUUUUCCUUCUUGUGGAACAGAUGGAAUGACACUGUGACAGAGUCUCCAGAUCCCCUUUGGCAUAGCUAUCAAGUUGGGCUGGUACAAGGUCCAUGGAUGAGCACCGACAAGGGAGUCUCCAUUGGAAUCUCUGUUGCUGUCUUGGUAGUAUUGCUCAUAUUUGUGGUAUUCUGGAUUAACAAAAGUAAGUCACCUCAGGACUGUGCCCACAGGAGUAUUCUUGAGCCAAACGACCUGUAG
rnacentral:lncRNA from 1 species